rnacentral:tRNA from 1 species
UCCGGGAUCAUCUAACGGUAGGAUGAGGGACUCUGAAUCCCUUCGUCUAGGUUCGAAUCCUAGUCCCGGAG